UACGGAGGGUGCAAGCGUUAUCCGGAUUCACUGGGUUUAAAGGGUUCGUAGGUGGGCUGGUAAGUCAGUGGUGAAAUCUCCAGGCUUAACUUGGAAACUGCCAUUGAUACUAUCAGUCUUGAAUACCGUGGAGGUCAGCGGAAUAUGUCAUGUAGCGGUGAAAUGCUUAGAUAUGACAUAGAACACCAAUUGCGAAGGCAGCUGGCUACACGAAUAUUGACACUGAUGCACGAAAGCGUGGGGAUCAAACAGG
rnacentral:rRNA from 1 species